CAGGCUAGAUAUUUUUCCUGUAUCUCCACAUUCCAGCUUUGCUCUCCCAUUAAUCUGAAUGUGGCUUGUUUCCAGUGGGCUUCACUGCUGGGGAAAGGAGUAUUUCCUAAAGCAAGAUGUAAACAACUUUUUAGAGUAAAUGGUAUGGUAGAAACAAUGUGUCAAAUCCAGUCCUUAAGGAAAAAAAAUAAAUCAAGUGUCACGCAUCAAAAGAAAGACAUUAAAAUAAAAACAGUGAAGAAAAAAGAAAGAAAAAAAAAAAAAAAAAAAAAAUAAAGGUGUAAGCAAUAUACUCUUUAUUUUUUAGUCAUCUGUAAAUCAUACUGAAAAUAUAUCUGAGUUACUUUGCCUGAAUAAUUGGUAGAAGUAUAUUAGGAAAUUUUAAGUGUUUGGAGGCAGAUGCCUCUUCUACAUCCCUGAAGAAAAAUUAAGAAUAAAAGCAUCUUUAACAGUUUAGAACA
rnacentral:lncRNA from 1 species